CCUACGGGAGGCAGCAGUGAGGAAUAUUGGUCAAUGGCCGCGAGACUGAACCAGCCAAGCCGCGUGCAGGAUGACGGUUCCAAGGGUUGUAAACUGCUUUUAUGCGGGGACAAAAUGAGUCUCGUGUGCCGUACUGUAGGUACUGGAUGAAUAAGGAUCGGCUAACUCCGUGCCAGCAGCCGCGGUAAUACGGAAGGUGCGGGCGUUAUCCGGAUUUAUUGGGUUUAAAGGGAUCGUAGGCCGCAUGUUAAGGGUGCCGUGAAAAGCCGGGGCUCAACCCUGGCACAGCGGUUGAAACUGGCUGGCUUGAGAGGUCGAGAGGUAUGCGGAAUGCGCGGUGUAGCGGUGAAAUGCUUAGAUAUUGCGAAGAACUCCGAUGGCGAAGGCAGCAUACUGGAGGGGAACUGACGCUGAGGCACGAAGGCGUGGGUAUCGAACAGGAUUAGAUACCCUUGUAGUC
rnacentral:rRNA from 1 species